UACAGAGGGGGCAAGCGUUUAUUCGGAAUUAUUGGGCGUAAAGGGCGCGUAGGCGGCUUGGCAAGUGGAUGGUGAAAUCCCUCGGCUUAACCGAGGAACUGCCGUCCAAACUGCUUUGCUUGAGACCGGGAGAGGUGAGUGGAAUUCCCAGUGUAGCGGUGAAAUGCGUAGAUAUUGGGGAGGAACACCAGUGGCGAAGGCGGCUCACUGGACCGGUACUGACGCUGAUGCGCGAAAGCGUGGGGAGCAAACGGG
rnacentral:rRNA from 1 species